GGCUCCAUAGUGUAGUGGUUAGCACAUGUGCUUUACACACAGAAAGUCCUGGGUUCACCAGGUGGAGCCG
rnacentral:tRNA from 1 species